CAGAAAUGUUGUCACAGCUUGAAACAGUGAUUGAGCACCUGGUGGGAAGGCAGGGCCAACUCAAGGGAGCUCAGCUGCAUGCAAUGCACCUGAGUGAUUGGAAGGUGUGGAGCCAGGAUCCACCCCUUCCCAGAGCUCUUUUAAGGGUUGGCAGUGCAGGCAAGGGUAUUUUGCUGGAGAUUCUUGCUUAUGUGAAGUCUUCUAAGGGUGUGUGAAACUUAGAGGCAGUUGUAUCUUGGAAGUUCCUGGGGAUACCAUUGGCUUUGUUGGGCAGCACUGUGCACGCAUGGCUAUUUAGCCAUGCAGAACUGAUGUGAAGAGCCUGGAAUGGUGAUGAUGUGCAGUCAUUCUGAUCCAGGUUAAUGUAUUUGUCUGGCUGCACUGCGGCAGAAUGAUUCAGUGGAUGGAUUGCUGCUGGGCAUGGACCUCCAAUAUCCUCUUCAUAUUUGCAGUUUCUGCUUAGGAAUGGAUCCUCGAUCACUUAACUCUCUUCUAUGAAUUCUGAAGCUCAUGCUCCAGCCAUCUAUUGUGUAUAUUCCACCAGUGGAAUUUUCUACUCUUAUCCUUGAGUUGACAGGAGCUAUUUAAAGUCUGCCAGAAGUUUAAGGCAUUGACAAAACUUUUGAAAGUAGAGCUUAUGAAUAUUUCUUAUGAAUAUUUCAAAACUUCCUGAACUUCCAGAAUUAUUAUUAGUAUCUUGUGGCAUCCUUGGAGAUUAGCACAGAGGAGUUUAUUUCUACCAAUUCGACUGCAGACCCUUCCCUAUCCCCCCCCUUUAAACCAACAAAACAUCAUCUAAAAAUCAAGUGCUUCACUGAUGAUUUUUGUUAUAUUGAGUCAUACUAUAGAACUGGUAGCAGUAAUUCUUAAGCUAACUCAUCAGACUGUACAUCUAUGAUGUUUUUCAGCCUUUGGUUUACCAAGGAAUAGUCUCACUUGUGUUCAAAUGAGUGUCCUUCAGUAAUAAAGUUUCUGAUGUUCUUAGAAACAGUGAAUCACAGGGGUCAAACUAAGAGUGUUAAAGAGGUUACCAGAUACAAAGAGAAAUGGAGCUGUUCUAUAAAUGGAUUUCAAUGGAAGGAAAAUCAAUAUCCUCUUUAUCCAUAAGUUUUGUAGGGGCAGUUAAAGAUAAUAAAAUAUUUAAGAACAUAGCAUAUAUUCCACUCUUAAAGUAUUUUAACCUCUUGUCCUUUCUCACUCUAUUUUAAGACAUUUUGUGAUUUAAUUGACAAUUGGCUCAUUAUCAAACUCUUUUGUAUUUUAUACUAUAUUGUCAAUUUGAAGCCUAGUACUUAAGUGAAAAUAGCAAUAAAAUGCAGUUCUUACAAGCCCUCUUCCCAUUUUUCUUAAGGACUGGUAAAAGAAUAGGGUUGAUGGGUGAAAUUAGAUAUAAAUUUUGCAUUGUUUCUUUGGACUUGGAUUUCUAAAGGUGGUGAAAUGCAUUCAAAUAUUAUAUUGAAUGGGAUAAUAAGUAACACAUCAAACAUUAGUACCUUAAAAAAAAAAAAAGUGAUGUCUCUGUCUUUCAAUGAAAACCUCCUUGACUGCUUCAAAUACUCUUUUUCCACUGCUCAUUUUUUCCUGAUCUUGCACAGUUCAGAUAUAAUGAGGGUUGUAUACAUAGACAGAUACAUUGGUAUCCUCAGCCAUACACUCUGCAUGCAUUUUCCCCUUAG
ensembl:lncRNA